rnacentral:rRNA from 1 species
GGAAUUUUGGACAAUGGGGGCAACCCUGAUCCAGCAAUGCCGCGUGAGUGAAGAAGGCCUUCGGGUUGUAAAGCUCUUUUGUCAGGGAAGAAACAGCAGCUCUAACACAGACUGCGAAUGACGGUACCUGAAGAAUAAGCACCGGCUAACUACGUGCCAGCAGCCGCGGUAAUACGUAGGGUGCGAGCGUUAAUCGGAAUUACUGGGCGUAAAGCGUGCGCAGGCGGUUAUACAAGACAGGCGUGAAAUCCCCGGGCUUAACCUGGGAAUGGCGUCUGUGACUGUAUAGCUAGAGUGUGUCAGAGGGGGGUGGAAUUCCACGUGUAGCAGUGAAAUGCGUAGAUAUGUGGAGGAACACCAAUGGCGAAGGCAGCCCCCUGGGAUAACACUGACGCUCAUGCACGAAAGCGUGGGGAGCAAACAGGAUUAGAUACCCUGGUAGUCCACGCCCUAAACGAUGCUGACUAGUUGUUGGGAAUUUACAUUCUCAGUAACGUAGCUAACGCGUGAAGUCAGCCGCCUGGGGAGUACGGUCGCAAGAUUAAAACUCAAAUGAAUUGACGG